rnacentral:misc_RNA from 1 species
AUUGCUUCUGGAAAUUUCAAUGAAACAUUUCAAUCUAUGAAAUGAAUCAGUUCGGUCUACAAAACUUAAAAAUAUUCCACACUUGACAAUAAUGUGAUAGCUAAACACAGUCCACGCCGAAUAAGUCAACAGCAAUUGGAGAGGAAGAACUACACAAGUACUCAAGAUGUGACACUAGGAUGCAGACUUCUACACACUUUGAACAUCAUUCACCUUGGGCCGGCAAAUUUGCUCAUCAUCUUUGCAAUUACAGGAGCUACCUUGGGAUUUGCUUGGUGCUUAGCAAGAUUAGCUGGGUUCUUCAUUACAUCUUGAAGGGCAGCCAUUACUUCAGGAUCACUAAAUGCAGCCAUCAGUUCUGGGUCGUUCAAGAUUUUACUGUAAUCAACAUUUCCUGGCAUCCCUCCUGGCAUGGCACCUGGGAAACCUCCAGGCAU